UUCGUUAUAGCAGCCUGAGCUAAGACAACUAGAUAAUUGACUUGUCUCUUAUACUUGUUUGUCAUUGGUCUCCCCAGUACUGGAAGCUCCAUGAAGCAGGACCUGUCUGGUUCACUGUUGAAUCCCAUGAGCCUGAAACAGUGCCUGGGCUGGGAAUAUCUGUUUGAAAGGACUGAAUGCGGAAGUGAUUCUAAUGCAGAUGGACCAUGAUACCCUCCUGAGAAACCCCGGUCAAGGAAGAGCAUGGGCUUUGAUAUUAGCCAGACGAGAGUUUGGAUCCUGACUCUAUUCACUUCUGUGUGUCUUCAGACAAUUUAAGCCCCUUGAGCAUCAGUUUUCUCAUCUGUGAAAUGGAGACAACACCAACAUCUUCAGAUUGCAACGCAAGGAUCCAGUGAGAUAACUGGGCACAGAGCGGUAUUCCACAUGCAUUGCUUCUGUCUUCCUUCCUCAUCUUCUGGGGGGAACUUUGCAUUCAAUGGCCUCUGAGCAGAAAACGUGUCUGAAGCUUCCCAGGUGGGAAGGAAGCGCAUUCUGUUUCUCAUCAUGGAGCGGGGCGGGGAGGAAGAGUUAAUGGAGGUAACCCUUCGUGGGGAGUGGAUGUCAUCUCUGCCGGCUCCCUCUGAAGCUCAGAGAACACACGUUCACCUCCCUCUGUCCCUUCCCGCCAGCAGAAACGAACAAGUGGUUUCUGAGUAAACAGACAAUAAAUCACUAGCUGGGAUCAGCACCUCCCCAAAGCAGCAUCAUUCAAGAUCUCAGGCAGACAGAGCUCGUUCUUGGAAACUGCAAUGUGGACGCCCCGAGCCAGUGUUCGUCCCAAAACAGCCCAGCCAGUUUCCCUGGGGCCCUUGGAGCGAGUCCCACGCACUCUGCCAGCCCCACCUGGAGGGACUUAAACUAGAGCACGGGAGAUUCGGGAAAUCACCUGCAUCUGGAUCCUCCUCUCAAAGUCUUCUUCUGGGGAUCCUGACCUCAAACACCAGGAGCCUUUGUGGAAUGAAUGAACGGACCAUACCCCAAGAGAGAUUCAAAUGAAACAUAAAGGAAAGCUGAUGAGAGAGGGCUUCAAGAGGAGCUGAAUUUAAGCAUCCUGAGGUUAAAGCCGGGAGAUUUAAAAGGCUCCAGGCACUUUCACUUAAAACAGCUCGCAUAGCAUCAUGGUAGAGUGAGUUUUCCCAUUUGUCUCUCCUCUCUAAGUUACAACUAAACAGACAUUCAUUAACCGACAGAGGAUUCCCUACACAGCACAACAGGAUGCCUGAGAGAUCCACACAGCCACACAUCUGAAGGUGGGUAGGCUGGAUCCAUGGGAAGCACUGGAACUAGGUGAGGAGACCCCGAUGCCCCCUUGGCAGCAGUGAUCCAGGGAGCGGAUCCUCACACAGCAACUGGCACAUCUGUAAGUUGAGGUGGGGGCAGCCCAGCCCCAUGUGAAUGCUUUCGGAGUGGUAGCCCAGCCCAUAGGAGCACCCACCAUGCCAUGGCAGCCCCACCCAUGCCAACACUCCCCACCAAGUGGUGGUGGCUCAGCCCCCACAAAGGCACCCCUCCUGCCUAGUGCAGUUGCUCAUCCAGUCCCCUGCCAAGCACAGUAGCCCUGCCUGCACAAGGGCAAACUGCCUGCUGAGCACAGAGGUCACGCCCACAUGAACUCAACCUGCCCAUCGGCUGCGGCUGGUUCAUGAAAACGCAGAGCAGGCCUACUGGCACAACUACCAGCAGACACGGCAGGAUCAGAAAACAUAGCCUCCUGCCCCCACACCAGCAGUGGCAAGUGGAAUCUGCAGCCUGAUACUACCACAAACGCACUGGCAAA
rnacentral:lncRNA from 1 species